UACGAAGGGGGCGAGCGUUGUUCGGAUUUACUGGGCGUAAAGGGCGCGCAGGCGGCUCAUUUUGUCAGGCGUGAAAGCCCCGGGCUUAACCUGGGAACUGCCCUUGAUACUGGCGGUCUCGAGUCCGGGAGAGGUGAGUGGAACUGCGAGUGUAGAGGUGAAAUUCGUAGAUAUUAGGAAGAACACCAGUGGCGAAGGGCGGCUCACUGGCUCGGGUACUGACGCUGAGGCGCGAAAGCGUGGGGAGCAAACAGGAGUUAGAAAC
rnacentral:rRNA from 1 species